AGGAUGAACGCUGGCGGCGUGCCUAAUACAUGCAAGUCGAGCGAACAGACGAGGAGCUUGCUCCUCUGACGUUAGCGGCGGACGGGUGAGUAACACGUGGAUAACCUACCUAUAAGACUGGGAUAACUUCGGGAAACCGGAGCUAAUACCGGAUAACAUGUUGAACCGCAUGGUUCAACAGUGAAAGACGGUCUUGCUGUCACUUAUAGAUGGAUCCGCGCCGCAUUAGCUAGUUGGUAAGGUAACGGCUUACCAAGGCAACGAUGCGUAGCCGACCUGAGAGGGUGAUCGGCCACACUGGAACUGAGACACGGUCCAGACUCCUACGGGAGGCAGCAGUAGGGAAUCUUCCGCAAUGGGCGAAAGCCUGACGGAGCAACGCCGCGUGAGUGAAGAAGGUCUUCGGAUCGUAAAACUCUGUUAUUAGGGAAGAACAAAUGUGUAAGUAACUAUGCACGUCUUGACGGUACCUAAUCAGAAAGCCACGGCUAACUACGUGCCAGCAGCCGCGGUAAUACGUAGGUGGCAAGCGUUAUCCGGAAUUAUUGGGCGUAAAGCGCGCGUAGGCGGUUUUUUAAGUCUGAUGUGAAAGCCCACGGCUCAACCGUGGAGGGUCAUUGGAAACUGGAAAACUUGAGUGCAGAAGAGGAAAGUGGAAUUCCAUGUGUAGCGGUGAAAUGCGCAGAGAUAUGGAGGAACACCAGUGGCGAAGGCGACUUUCUGGUCUGUAA
rnacentral:rRNA from 1 species